rnacentral:rRNA from 1 species
AACGACUCUCGGCAACGGAUAUCUCGGCUCACGCAUCGAUGAAGAACGUAGCAAAAUGCGAUACUUGGUGUGAAUUGCAGAAUCCCGUGAACCAUCGAGUUUUUGAACGCAAGUUGCGCCCAAAGCCAUUCGGCCGAGGGCACGUCUGCCUGGGCGUCACGC